rnacentral:rRNA from 1 species
GGCGAACGGAUGAGUAACACGUGGGUGAUCUGCCCUGCACUUCGGGAUAAGCUUGGGAAACUGGGCCUAAUACCGGAUAGGAGCCAUCUUUAGUGUGGUGGUUGGAAAGUUUUUCGGUGUAGGAUGAGCUCGCGGCCUAUCAGCUUGUUGGUGGGGUAAUGGCCUACCAAGGCGGCGACGGAUAGCCGGCCUGAGAGGGUGUACGGCCACAUUGGGACUGAGAUACGGCCCAG